rnacentral:rRNA from 1 species
GAUGAACGCUGGCGGCGUGCUUAACACAUGCAAGUCGAACGAAGCACUUUAUUUGAUUUCCUUCGGGACUGAUUAUUUUGUGACUGAGUGGCGGACGGGUGAGUAACGCGUGGGUAACCUGCCUUGUACAGGGGGAUAACAGUUGGAAACGGCUGCUAAUACCGCAUAAGCGCACAGCAUCGCAUGAUGCAGUGUGAAAAACUCCGGUGGUAUAAGAUGGACCCGCGUUGGAUUAGCUAGUUGGUGAGGUAACGGCCCACCAAGGCGACGAUCCAUAGCCGACCUGAGAGGCUGACCGGCCACAUUGGGACUGAGACACGGCCCAAACUCCUACGGGAGGCAGCAGUGGGGAAUAUUGCACAAUGGGCGAAAGCCUGAUGCAGCGACGCCGCGUGAGCGAAGAAGUAUUUCGGUAUGUAAAGCUCUAUCAGCAGGGAAGAUAAUGACGGUACCUGACUAAGAAGCACCGGCUAAAUACGUG